CCCUUAGAUGUCCUGGGCUGCACGCGUGCUACAAUGAUACGUGCAACGAGUUAAUCCUGCUCUGAAAGGAGUGGGUAAUCUUAUGAAUGCGUAUCGUGCUUGGGAUUGACCAUUGUAAUUAUUGGUCAUGAACGAGGAAUUCCUAGUAAGCACAAGUCAUCAGCUUGUGCUGAUUACGUCCCUGCCCUUUGUACACACCGCCCGUCGCUCCUACCGAUUGAGUGUUCCGGUGAAUUAUUCGGACUGCAACAGUUAUCUGUCGCGGAAAGUCUUGUGAACCUUAACGCUUAGAGGAAGGAAAAGUCGUAACA
rnacentral:rRNA from 1 species